rnacentral:rRNA from 1 species
UACGUAGGUGGCGAGCGUUGUCCGGAAUUACUGGGUGUAAAGCGCGUGUAGGCGGGAGGCCAAGUCUGCGGUGAAAUCCCGCGGCUCAACUGCGGGUCUGCAGUCGAUACGGGCAGGCUAGAGUUCGGUAGGGGAGACUGGAAUUCCUGGUGUAGCGGUGAAAUGCGCAGAUAUCAGGAGGAACACCGGUGGCGAAGGCGGGUCUCUGGGCCGUAACUGACGCUGAGGAGCGAAAGCAUGGGGAGCGAACAGG